rnacentral:rRNA from 1 species
GACGAACGCUGGCGGCGUGCUUAACACAUGCAAGUCGAGCGGUAAGGCCCUUCGUGGUACACGAGCGGCGAACGGGUGCGUAACACGUGGGUGACCUGCCCUCCACUCUGGGAUAAGCCUGGGAUACCGGGUCUAAUACCGAAUCUGACCUCCGCAUGCAUGUGCGGUGGUGGAAAGUUCUGGCGGCGGGGGUUGGGCCCGCGGUCUAUCAUCUUGGUGGUGUGGUGAUGGUGUACCGAGGCGACGACGGAUAGCCGGCCUGGGUGGGUGAUCGGCGACAGUGAGACGGAAACACGGCCCAGAGUCCUGCGGGAGGCAGCAGUGGGGGGUCGUGGGCGGGAGGCGGAAGCCUGGCGCAGCAGCGCGGCGUGGGGGAUGACGGCGUGCGGGGUGGGAACCUCGGUCGCGAACGGCGAAGCUCGUACUUCUGGUGCGGGUGACGGUAGGGCGAGAAGAAGCACCGGCCAACUACGUG